rnacentral:rRNA from 1 species
GACGAACGCUGGCGGCGUGCUUAACACAUGCAAGUCGAACGGAAAGGCCCUGCUUUUGUGGGGUGCUCGAGUGGCGAACGGGUGAGUAACACGUGAGUAACCUGCCCUUGACUUUGGGAUAACUUCAGGAAACUGGGGCUAAUACCGGAUAGGAGCUCCUGCUGCAUGGUGGGGGUUGGAAAGUUUCGGCGGUUGGGGAUGGACUCGCGGCUUAUCAGCUUGUUGGUGGGGUAGUGGCUUACCAAGGCUUUGACGGGUAGCCGGCCUGAGAGGGUGACCGGCCACAUUGGGACUGAGCUGCGGCCCAGACUCCUACGGGAGGCAGCAGUGGGGAAUAUUGCACAAUGGGCGGAAGCCUGGUGCAGCAACGCCGCGUGCGGGAUGACGGCCUUCGGGUUGUAAACCGCUUUCGCCUGUGACGAAGCGUGAGUGACGGUAAUGGGUAAAGAAGCACCGGCUAACUACGUG